rnacentral:lncRNA from 1 species
GAUUUUCUUCUAGGGGGCAGUGGAUAGCCUUUCUCGGCGGUGGAGGAGCUUUCUCUGGUGAGUAAUUUCACAACCUAGCCCCAUUCCCCAUAAUUUUGCAAGGAUUUGUGGCCUCACGCUCUGUUUCUUCCUCCGAUUUGGAAGGUAGAUUCGUGUGUCGUGGACGGAUUGAAUGAGGUGGAGGGAGGAGAGAAUAGUUCUAAUCGGUAAUACACCCUUCUUUAGCUGUUCUUGAACUCGAUUUGUGCGUCGUGCCCUGCAGUACCUCACUCCACUACCGCUUGGGCACCCAUACCGCUUCCCCCUUCCCGCCAUUGACAAACAGCGGCAGCGGAGAUUCUGCGCCUACCUUGUAAAGAUAUUGAUCCACACGAGUUGCAGAGCAUGGAAGAGAAGGCCGUGAAGAAUUUGGUGGAGAGAAUUGGGGAGAGUAUUGCUUUGAACUCCGGUGAUGCACUUCAAUGAUUGUAAAAUAUAUUUGUACAUGGUUUUUUUAUCGUAUCCUUGCACCUUACAAGGUUUAAAAAAGAAAAAUGGUAUUCUUCUGGUCUUGAUUUGUAAUCUAGUUGGAUGCCCGUUGGAUGGUGGACGUGCCCACA